UAAGAACUAUUCCUCUGGUGGGGAGUUGGCCACGUGCCAGGCACUAUAGCAGGUUCUAGAAAGAUGACCACAACAGACCAAGUCCUGCCUUCAUGGACUGACAUCUCAUGAGGUCAACUGAAAACCAUAAAAUACAACACUAAAGUAAAUUAUCUUCAUAAAAUAGGCAUUUCCUGCUAGUUUCUGUCUCAGCACCUCCUCUGACUCAUUCACAGCAGAAAUCACAAUCUAAUUAUUAUUUUUUCUUUUUAUUCCCAAUUACUUGGCAGAGAUUACACCUGGCUCAUACACUGUUGUAUCCCAGGACUCAGAGCAGAGCUUCACACCUCAAAAGUGCUCAACGAACAUAGAGCGAAUAGACAAAUGGCUAAGUGCUGCCUUGCGAAAUUUUUGCUUUGGGCCAGAAUUCAAACUUCACAUCCCUUCUUUGUUGUUGGCAGUGGUCAGUCACCACCCUAUAUAAAGGAAAUUGAAAAGGAAAUAUACUUUCAUAAUCCAUUCAGCUUUUGUUCCAUAAAAUUUCUGGGUUUCUUAAGGAGAUCACUUUAUCCCAGAUUAACCAUCCAUGGCUUAAUUAAAAAGUCAACUAGAGGACAUUUGUCUUUUGGAUUUGACACUUGUACAUAGAAGUGUCUGGGGUUAGGGGUGCUCAGGAGACUGGGUUUCAGUGCUGCAAACUGUGUUGAGUUAGUCUGGAGAAGGCUGAAUGCCUAUGAGGAAAAGAGCCUCUUACUCUCAUGCCCUGUCCUUUACCAAGGUGGGCUUCUUGGGGUAACAGGCUACCGUUGAUGUGCCAUGUUGAUGACAUCAUUAAGUCCCAGGAGUGGAACUCUAGCAGCAUGAAGUUCUACAAUCUGACAACACCAGGUAGCUAUAUACAUCUGUAUAGCUUAUAGUUCAGGUAAUAUACAACCAUUCAUUGUGCUUCUACUAUGUGCCAGAAUUCAUUCCAGGAACUAUAUAUAAAUCAUCUAUGAGCUUUACAACAGCCUGAGCUGGUAGGCAUAAUUUCCACUUCACAGGUAACAUCUAAGAUCCUCAGCCCCCUCUUGGCAUUUCCAAAGAUCCCUGUUAUAUAAUACUGUAGCCUCUCAAGGCAAGAGAAGCUAGACUCAGGAAUAGCCCAGGUUGUCCUCGGCCACAGCACACCAACACAGCUGUUCCCCACUCUUACCCUGCACCUGCUACCUCUGUACUAACUGAUUGGAGCCUUCUGCCAUUUGCUGUGCUGUGUAAUCCUUCUCAAUACAGCUCUCCAGGCAGAUGCUACCAGACAUUCUGGAUUGCAGAUGAGUCAUAACCUAUUUGUCAAACAUGCUUUAAACAGUGUAUGUAAAGGAUUUUGCCCUAGGAAUGAGAAUCCUUGAUUCAGUGUUACACUGCAGCUGUGUAAUUUUGAGCAAAUUGCUUAUUUCCUCUGACUUCAGUUUAUUUACCUGUAGAAUGGGAGUUCUCCAUCACCAUACCUGCCUUUUGCCUCAAAAAGUCACCAUAUAAGUAUAAGCCAGUGAAUUGGCUUCACUGAUACCACAGUGCUGCUUCUAAGUGCAACUAGAUGUGAUUCAGUAAGGGUCAGGACCCUAUGCAAAUGUGAAACAUUCUCAAAAGUGGCAAAU